rnacentral:rRNA from 1 species
UACGAAGGGGGGCUAGCGUUGCUCGGAAUUACUGGGCGUAAAGCGCACGUAGGCGGAUUGUUAAGUCGGGGGUGAAAUCCUGGAGCUCAACUCCAGAACUGCCUUUGAUACUGAAGAUCUUGAGUCCGGGAGAGGUGAGUGGAACUGCGAGUGUAGAGGUGAAAUUCGUAGAUAUUCGCAAGAACACCAGUGGCGAAGGCGGCUCACUGGCCCGGUACUGACGCUGAGGCACGAAAGCGUGGGGAGCAAACAGGG